rnacentral:rRNA from 1 species
GACGUAGGGCGCGAGCGUUGUCCGGAUUUAUUGGGCGUAAAGAGCUCGUAGGCGGCUUGUUGCGUCGACCGUGAAAACCCGUGGCUUAACUGCGGGCUUGCGGUCGAUACGGGCGGGCUGGAGUUCGGUAGGGGAGACUGGAAUUCCUGGUGUAGCGGUGAAAUGCGCAGAUAUCAGGAGGAACACCGGUGGCGAAGGCGGGUCUCUGGGCCGUAACUGACGCUGAGACGCGAAAGCGUGGGGAGCAAACAGG